AGUGAACGCUGGCGGUAGGCCUAACACAUGCAAGUCGAACGGCAGCACAGUAAGAGCUUGCUCUUACGGGUGGCGAGUGGCGGACGGGUGAGGAAUACAUCGGAAUCUACUUUUUCUUGGGUGAUAACGUAGGGCAACUUACGCUACUACCGCAUACGACCUACGGGUUAAAGCAGGGGAUCUUCGCACCUUGCGCGAUAGAAUGAGCCGAUGUCGGAUUAGCUAGUUGGCGGGGUAAAGGCCCACCAAGGCGACGAUCCGUAGCUGGUCUGAGAGGAUGAUCAGCCACACUGGAACUGAGACACGGUCCAGACUCCUACGGGAGGCAGCAGUGGGGAAUAUUGGACAAUGGGCGCAAGCCUGAUCCAGCCAUACCGCGUGGGUGAAGAAGGCCUUCGGGUUGUAAAGCCCUUUUGUUGGGAAAGAAAAGCAGCAGGUUAAAACCCCGCUGUUCUGACGGUACCCAAAGAAUAAGCACCGGCUAACUUCGUG
rnacentral:rRNA from 1 species